CACGUAGGGCGCAAGCGUUGUCCGGAAUUAUUGGGCGUAAAGAGCUCGUAGGCGGUCUGUUGCGUCUGCUGUGAAAACUCGGGGCUUAACCCCGAGCCUGCAGUGGAUACGGGCAGACUUGAGUUCGGCAGGGGAGACUGGAAUUCCUGGUGUAGCGGUGAAAUGCGCAGAUAUCAGGAGGAACACCGGUGGCGAAGGCGGGUCUCUGGGCCGAUACUGACGCUGAGGAGCGAAAGCGUGGGGAGCGAACAGG
rnacentral:rRNA from 1 species